GCGUGUGUGCAGGUCAGGCGGAGGUUCGCCCUCCCGCUCUCCUAAAGCGGGUGUCGCAGGUUCGAAUCCUGCCGGGGGCACGA
rnacentral:tRNA from 1 species